CCAGCCAAGUAGCGUGCAGGAUGACGGCCCUAUGGGUUGUAAACUGCUUUUAUAUAGGGAUAAAGUCGGGGACGUGUCCCCGUUUGUAGGUACUAUAUGAAUAAGGACCGGCUAAUUCCGUGCCAGCAGCCGCGGUAAUACGGAAGGUCCGGGCGUUAUCCGGAUUUAUUGGGUUUAAAGGGAGCGCAGGCUGAUGAUUAAGCGUGACGUGAAAUGUAGCCGCUCAACGGCUGAACUGCGUCGCGAACUGGUUAUCUUGAGUGAGUUCGAUGUUGGCGGAAUUCGUGGUGUAGCGGUGAAAUGCUUAGAUAUCACGAAGAACUCCGAUUGCGAAGGCAGCCAACAAGGCCUUUACUGACGCUAAAGCUCGAAGGUGCGGGUAUCGAACAGGAUUAGAUACCCUGGUAGUCCGCACGGUAAACGAUGGAUGCCCGCUGUUUGCGAUAUACUGUGAGCGGCCAAGAGAAAUCGUUAAGCAUCCCACCUGGGGAGUACGCCGGCAACGGUGAAACUCAAAGGAAUUGACGGGGGCCCGCACAAGCGGAGGAACAUGUGGUUUAAUUCGAUGAUACGCGAGGAACCUUACCCGGGCUUGAACUGCCAGUGAACGAUACAGAGAUGUUGAGGCCCUUCGGGGCGCUGGUGGAGGUGCUGCAUGGUUGUCGUCAGCUCGUGCCGUGAGGUGUCGGCUUAAGUGCCAUAACGAGCGCAACCCUUUUCAUUAGUUGCCAUCAGGUGAUGCUGGGCACUCUGGUGAUACUGCCACCGUAAGGUGUGAGGAAGGUGGGGAUGACGUCAAAUCAGCACGGCCCUUACGUCCGGGGCUACACACGUGUUACAAUGGGAGGUACAGAGAGUCGGUGCAUGGCAAUAUGCAUCUAAUCCUAAAAGCCUUCCUCAGUUCGGAUUGGGGUCUGCAACCCGACCCCAUGAAGCUGGAUUCGCUAGUAAUCGCGCAUCAGCCAUGGCGCGGUGAAUACGUUCCCGGGCCUUGUACACACCGCCCGUCAAGCCAUGAAAGCCGGGGGCGCUUGAAGUCCGUGACCGCAAGGAUCGGCCUAGAGCGAAACUGGUAAUUGGGGCUAAGU
rnacentral:rRNA from 1 species